UCCGUAGGCGGUGUGGCAAGUCGGAAGUGAAAUCUCUGGGCUUAACUCAGAGGCUGCUUCCGAAACUGCCGUGCUAGAGUGCGAGAGAGGCAAGUGGAAUUGCGGGUGUAGCGGUGAAAUGCGUAGAUAUCCGCAGGAACAUCCGAGGCGAAAGCGGCUUGCUUUGGAUCGCAACUGACGCUGAGGGACGAAAGCUAGGGGAGCAAACAGGAUUAGAUACCCUGGUAGUCCUAGCCCUAAACCAUCAGGACUUGGGGUUUGCCCUGUACGGGGCAAGUCCCGUAGCUAACGCGUUAAGUCCUGCGCCUGGGGAGUACGGUCGCAAGGCUGAA
rnacentral:rRNA from 1 species